UUACUUAUGUAUACUGAAUCAUCAUGGACGGCACCGAUGAGUAAUAAUAAAAUUAUGCAACCUCAACAACCCGCAAUGUAACUGAAAGUCGCAUGCAAGAUCGCGCGCCUUCAAAAUGAGUAGAUAAGGUGGCGGGGCUUGCGGUGGCGUGAAUAUGUAGAAAAGAUUUUGGUGCGAAUUAUGUUGGUGCUGAAACGUGUCUGAGUUAACAAAUCUACAAUACCCUUUGUAAACAAGGUAUUCUUGUUUUAAUACAAUUGUGUCGCUAAUCCGAGAUCAGUGAAGCAAGG